AUUGAACGCUGGCGGCAUGCUUUACACAUGCAAGUCGAACGGCAGCACGGGGGCAACCCUGGUGGCGAGUGGCGAACGGGUGAGUACAACAUCGGAACGUGCCCUGUUGUGGGGGAUAGCCCGGCGAAAGCCGGAUUAAUACCGCAUACGACCUGAGGGUGAAAGCGGGGGACCGUAAGGCCUCGCGCAAUAGGAGCGGCCGAUGCCCGAUUAGCUUGUUGGUGCGGGAAUGGCUCACCAAGGAGACGAUCGGUAGCUGGUCUGAGAGGACGACCAGCCACACUGGGACUGAGACACGGCCCAGACUCCUACGGGAGGCAGCAGUGGGGAAUUUUGGACAAUGGGCGCAAGCCUGAUCCAGCCAUGCCGCGUGCGGGAAGAAGGCCUUCGGGUUGUAAACCGCUUUUGGCAGAAACGAAACGGCGCUUGAUAAUACCGAGCGCUAAUGACGGUACCUGCAGAAUAAGCACCGGCUAACUACGUGCCAGCCGCCGCGGUAA
rnacentral:rRNA from 1 species